CUGGCUCAGGAUGAACGCUAGCGGCAGGCCUAACACAUGCAAGUCGAGGGGCAGCGGGGAGUGCUUGCACUCUGCCGGCGACCGGCGCACGGGUGCGUAACGCGUAUACAACCUACCUCUUACUAUUGGAUAGCCCAGAGAAAUUUGGAUUAAGCCAAUAUGGCACCACAUCACGGCAUCGUGUUUGUGGUUAAAGGUUACGGUAAGAGAUGGGUAUGCGUCCUAUUAGUUUGUUGGUAAGGUAACGGCUUACCAAGACUACGAUAGGUAGGGGCCCUGAGAGGGGGAUCCCCCACACUGGUACUGAGACACGGACCAGACUCCUACGGGAGGCAGCAGUGAGGAAUAUUGGACAAUGGGCGGGAGCCUGAUCCAGCCAUGCCGCGUGCAGGAAGACUGCCCUAUGGGUUGUAAACUGCUUUUAUACGGGAAGAAACACCCCCUCGUGAGGGGGCUUGACGGUACCGUAAGAAUAAGGACCGGCUAACUCCGUGCCAGCAGCCGCGGUAAUACGGAGGGUCCGAGCGUUAUCCGGAAUCAUUGGGUUUAAAGGGUCCGUAGGCGGGCGGCUAAGUCAGUGGUGAAAGUCUGUGGCUCAACCAUAGAAUUGCCAUUGAUACUGGUCGUCUUGAAUCAAUGUGAAGUGGUUAGAAUGAGUAGUGUAGCGGUGAAAUGCAUAGAUAUUACUCAGAAUACCGAUUGCGAAGGCAGAUCACUAACAUUGUAUUGACGCUGAGGGACGAAAGCGUGGGGAGCGAACAGGAUUAGAUACCCUGGUAGUCCACGCCGUAAACGAUGGAUACUAGCUGUGCGGACUUUGGUCUGCGUGGCUAAGCGAAAGUGAUAAGUAUAAACUCAAAGGAAUUGACGGGGGCCCGCACAAGCGGUGGAGCAUGUGGUUUAAUUCGAUGAUACGCGAGGAACCUUACCAGGGCUUAAAUGUAGUGGGACAGGCGUGGAAACACGCCCUUCUUCGGACUCAUUACAAGGUGCUGCAUGGUUGUCGUCAGCUCGUGCCGUGAGGUGUCAGGUUAAGUCCUAUAACGAGCGCAACCCCUGUCGUUAGUUGCCAGCAUGUAAAGAUGGGAACUCUAGCGAGACUGCCGGUGCAAACCGCGAGGAAGGUGGGGAUGACGUCAAAUCAUCACGGCCCUUACGUCCUGGGCUACACACGUGCUACAAUGGCCGGUACAGAGGGCAGCCACACCGCAAGGUGGAGCGAAUCCUUAAAACCGGUCUCAGUUCGGAUCGGGGUCUGCAACUCGACCCCGUGAAGCUGGAAUCGCUAGUAAUCGGAUAUCAGCCAUGAUCCGGUGAAUACGUUCCCGGGCCUUGUACACACCGCCCGUCAAGCCAUGGAAGCUGGGGGUACCUGAAGUCGGUGA
rnacentral:rRNA from 1 species